rnacentral:rRNA from 1 species
GUGAACGCUGGCGGUAGGCCUAACACAUGCAAGUCGCACGGCAGCACAGUAAGAGCUUGCUCUUACGGGUGGCGAGUGGCGGACGGGUGAGGAAUACAUCGGAAUCUACUUUUUCGUGGGGGAUAACGUAGGGAAACUUACGCUAAUACCGCAUACGACCUACGGGUGAAAGCAGGGGACCUUCGGACCUUGCGCGAUUGAAUGAGCCGAUGUCGGAUUAGCUAGUUGGCGGGGUAAAGGCCCACCAAGGCGACGAUCCGUAGCUGGUCUGAGAGGAUGAUCAGCCACACUGGAACUGAGACACGGUCCAGACUCCUACGGGAGGCAGCAGUGGGGAAUAUUGGACAAUGGGCGCAAGCCUGAUCCAGCCAUACCGCGUGGGUGAAGAAGGCCUUCGGGUUGUAAAGCCCUUUUGUUGGGAAAGAAAAGCAGCAGGUUAAUACCCCGCUGUUCUGACGGUACCCAAAGAAUAAGCACCGGCUAACUUCGUG